UGGGAGGAGGUGAAACAUCAUCCUUAUCACUGGCAUCUUUCUAUAUGGCUCGACUGCACUCAGCCUCACCAUCUCUCUCUUUUUCUAAUAUUAGAUGUGGCCACAUUUACCUUGAGGGGAUUAAAGGGGAUGUCCAUAUCUAGCUCAAUGUGAAAAUCCUCAUCAAACACCCUCAAUGCAUCAGGAUAAUGCAAAGACUAGACUGGGAAGAUAGGGGCC
rnacentral:lncRNA from 1 species